AACACCUUUGUCAGUGAUGUGAACAGUGGGAUUUAUGCACCCUCAGCAAGUUUGCUCAUGACACCAAGCUGUAACAGUCUACCAACACUUGUUGU